GCCGGAGUAGCUCAGUGGCAGAGCAGCUCACUCGUAAUGAGCAGGUCAGGGGUUCAACUCCCCUCUCCGGCU
rnacentral:tRNA from 2 species